CUGUUAACAAUGUUUAUCCGAGCUGUUCCUAAGGAAAUAUUCAAAAUGUCACGCCGACCUGGGAAAGGAACUGGGAGGUUGAUGGUGGGCCAGAUGCAGCUGGAGCUGGACAGAUAACACGGCCCAGCGCCAGGACUUUCAAAGUAGCCGAGAAAAACAUCUACACGUCCUUAUUUGGACAUGUGGAAAGAUUUUAGGUGGUGGUUAAAAGCAGGCUUUCACAGGCUGGGGUUUUCAGAGCGCUUCGCAGAGGGUCCGCUGGUAGCACACAGCGGACCUUUUCCGACCUGUCGGUUCUCUCUGCAGAGGAACAAGCAGAUGCGUCCCAGACGGAUGCAGAAGAAACAAAACCAUUACGGACAAAGAAGCCAGUUCACCCUGUAGCUGAUCUAGAAGGGACAGACAGGGCAGUGAAAAGGGAUGAGUUGUUAGAACUGCCCGACAUUUAUUUAAAAACAGAGAAAAUUUCAAUUGGAAAUUCCUGCAGUGAAAGUGAUCUGCGUGACAGAGCAGUUAGAUCACUGUGGGCUGAGUCAGAUGAGGAAUCAGUGUGUGUGGGUGACGAACGGGUAAAUGAGGUUUCUGAUGGACUUCCUCCGCUGGUCAAAGGGGCAAAGCGUCAAAAUCUGCCCUGGCCUUCAAGACCAGAUCAGAAUGAUCUGACUGACACUGUGGGACUUUGCAACUUGUCACUAGAACAAAUAACUGAGCAUGUGAUUCAUGCUGUUGAGCUGCGUCAGAAGCAGGCAAAGAAGGCAGUGAAAGAAGCAACACGCCAGCAGCAGCGAGAAGAGGGGGAGAAAAGAGAGACGAGGAUGGUGUCUGCUCAACCAGCCAGCGUGCCUCAGACCCCACCUACACCACCAGGCAUGGCCACACCUCAGGUGAUGUACAUUCUACCAGGAGGGUGGACAAGACGACCUCCUAUGAGGAGAGGAGGGUUCCCUGCAGACAAAGGCAGAGGAACAGGAGGCAGCCACAGAGGAGGCGUGAGAUGCUACUGCUGUGGGAAGACUGGUCACGUAAGAAGCCAUUGCUUUGAUUGUCUACGAGGCUCACGAGGAGUGCCUAGACCAAAGGGGUCCGCUGAUCAAUGUGGAGGCCACUCAACUGGGUACUAGAGAGGACCAGACACCUGCAGGAUUCAUGAACUUUGUUGAUGGGCUCCAUCAAAAGCCAAAAAGCCAGAGGCCUCUGAAUCUGUGACUUCACCUUGCUGCACACUUUAGUACUUUGAGACUCAGACAAAUCUCUAAAAUUGGGAAACAAAAUAAACAAGUCGGGCUGGUGAGAAUGACUUAGUCC
rnacentral:lncRNA from 1 species